GACAUACACUCACACAGUUGUUAAUCCAGUGCUCGACAAAUAUCAGGUGCCAGGUAGCCAUGGCGACUAGAAUCUGGCUCCUGGAGCUUGGAACAUGCUUUUAUCAGUGAGUCUGCACUCAAACAGUUACACAAACAGCAAAGAACAGACAGGCAGCCCUCCCCUGCUUCCUGUUCCUCCGUGCUGCUGUAACCAUGUCAAACGCCUGUGAGGAGUGAUGAGAACUGCUGCUGUCCGCUCAUCAUGUGGGCAUAUAAAGCCAUCGUCUGCACUUACGUCAUCAGGCGGCUGCCAGCCUUAAAGUGCCAGGGCUGCCUCAUCAUCGCCAGCGCAGCUCUGGUUAUAUAUAAAAAACAAUUGUGUUGAUAAGAUAACCAUAGGCACCAUAGCAACCAUUGAGACUUCCUGCUGAUUUUUUGAAUUUACUACUUUGUUCCACAAUUGCUCUGUAUACAUAAACAAAUCUUACAUGCCAUA